GGAUUGUGAAUCACCCAUGCGCGA
rnacentral:tRNA from 1 species